rnacentral:rRNA from 1 species
GAUGAACGCUGGCGGCGUGCCUAAUACAUGCAAGUCGAGCGAACAGACGAGGAGCUUGCUCCUCUGACGUUAGCGGCGGACGGGUGAGUAACACGUGGAUAAUCUACCUAUAAGACGGGGAUAACUUCGGGAAACCGGAGCUAAUACCGGAUAAUAUAUUGAACCGCAUGGUUCAAUAGUGAAAGACGGUUUUGCUGUCACUUAUAGAUGGAUCCGCGCCGCAUUAGCUAGUUGGUAAGGUAACGGCUUAUCAAGGCGACUAUGCGUAGCCGACCUGAGAGGGUGGUAGGCCACACUGGAACGGAGACACGGUCCAGGCUCCUACGGGACGCAGCAGUAGGGAAUCGGCCGCAAUGGGCGAAAGCCUGGCGGAGCAGCGCCGCGUGAGUGAUGAAGGUCUUCGGAUCGUAAAACUCUGUUAUUAGGGAAGAACAAAUGUGUAAGUAACUAUGCACGUCUUGACGGUACCUGAUCAGAAAGCCACGGCUAACUACGUG